GCCGACGUAGCUCAGGGGUAGAGCAACCGCCUUGUAAGCGGUUGGCCGUCAGUUCGAAUCUGACCGUCGGCUCCA
rnacentral:tRNA from 1 species